UAUCUCUGUAGAGUCUGCAUAUCAAUAAGCGGAGGAAAAGAAACUAACUAGGAUUCCCUCAGUAACGGCGAGUGAAGCGGGAAGAGCUCAAAUUUGAAAUCUUCAAGGUUCUACCUUGACGAAUUGUAGUUUAAAGAAGUGUUUUCUGUUGGAGUUUUGGUAAAAGUUCUUUGGAAUAGGACAUCAUAGAGGGUGAGAAUCCCGUAUUUGACCAUUAUUUCCAGCUUUGUGAUACACUUUCAAAGAGUCGGAUUGUUUGGGAAUGCAGUCCAAAAUGGGUGGUAAAUUUCAUCUAAAGCUAAAUAUUAGCGAGAGACCGAUAGCGAACAAGUACCGUGAGGGAAAGAUGAAAAGAACUUUGAAAAGAGAGUUAAACAGUACGUGAAAUUGUCAAAAGGGAAGCGUUUGACACCAGUGUUGUUUUCUCGAAAAAUCAAUUAAAAAAGGCAGGAUUUUGUGUUGUAUUGACUUUAUCAGCUUUCUGCACUCUUUUCUUGUCUUUUUUUAAUGCACUUUUCGUUUAACAAGUCAACAUCAAUUUCUUUUGUUGUAAAAGGGUCAUUGGAAGGUGGCUUUCUUUUCGGAGAAAGUGUUUAUAGCCUUUGGCCUCUGCAAUCGGAGAGAUUGAGGUCUGCAGCGUAGAUCCUUCGGGGUUAGAUACAUUUGUGCUAAGUUAUAGCCUUUCAUAGACAACUUGUUGACUAUGAUCAGUCAUGUAGCUUACUCGCUUAUGCUAUUUUACCUACGCUUAGGAUGUUGAAGAUGUAGCACAUCA
rnacentral:rRNA from 1 species